rnacentral:rRNA from 1 species
CGGGUGAGUAAUGUCUGGGAAACUGCCUGAUGGAGGGGGAUAACUACUGGAAACGGUAGCUAAUACCGCAUAGCGUCGCAAGACCAAAGAGGGGACCUUCGGGCCUCUUGCCAUCGGAUGUGCCCAGAUGGGAUUAGCUAGUAGGUGGGGUAACGGCUCACCUAGGCGACGAUCCCUAGCUGGUCUGAGAGGAUGACCAGCCACACUGGAACUGAGACACGGUCCAG